rnacentral:lncRNA from 10 species
AGUUUUAAAAAUAUUUUCCAAGAUCCCUUCAGUGAACAUGGGAUGCUUCCAUAAUGAAGAGAGAGACACACCGUGAUGACCUCCACAUACCAUAUUUGAUGACAGUCUUCCUUGAGCCAGCUGUGAUGUAAAGAAGUUUGUGCUGCAUGAGAGAGAUAGCACCUGAAGAAAAUGAGGCCCUGGAGGAUGAGAGACUCUAAAGGAAAAGGGAAGGGCCUGCUGUCUUCCAGCCACGCCAGCCCCCAACUGA